GUUUGUCCUUUAUCUCAGGAACAGUCAGUCUGCAGCUUGCAGUACCUGGUUCAGUGCAUCUGAUCUGUGAACAGAAAAUGAGAAAUUUCAGAGAACUAUCUUACAUUUAGAGUUACAAUUUAGCAACAAAUCCCAGACCCACUUACUUUUCUCCUACCUCUGAGUUAGAGAUUUGAUGAGCCAAUAAUUUAUCUGAAAGGCUAGGGGCCCCAGCAGCGAAUGCUGUGACAUUUACGCCCUUUGUGAAUCGAAGCCAGACUUCUCAAAGCUGAAUGCUCCAGCUGUGUUGGAGGCCUGGAAAACAUUUUUUCUUUGGCAUCUAGUACCAGAGAAGCCCCUUGGAGUAGAAUUCUCCAAUUAAUGGCCAUCCCGGUGGAUUUGGAACGCCUCCACCUGAAGUGGGGCAGAACAAGGGACACUUUCAAACUGUGAGCAGAUUCGUUGUCUUUGCGAGGAAGACUGUUCUGAUUGAGAUCGGCCUUUUUUUCCCCCAGCAACAGGGUCAUGUCAGGAAGGAAUGCAACAUCUCUGGUUCAGUUCAGGGGGGUAAUCUUAUUCGGUUUGCAGAGCUGCUUGGAGAACUGAGAGCUUCAGUCUGUAAGAUGGACUAAUGCCCAGUGUGGCUAGUAAAAGUAAGACUGCUGUUAAAGUCAUUACUAGAGAAAAAACACACCCGCUAACUUCAAAUAGGCUGUUGGCUUCUUGAGAGAGGGCCAAACUUCUUGUGAUACUGAGAAUUUUGCCAGUUACCCACCCAUUAUAUGUAUCUAUGUUAUAUGUAUGUAUAAAAUGUUCCUUUUUAGCCUGAAUUGCUAAGGAAACUGGGCAUAAAUGAGCUCACUGUCUAUUUAUCCAUCCCCACUUCGAUAGCUUUUAGCCUCACUGCACAGUUCCUUCUGACACUGGAAGAAAGUUUCAAAGACAAGUAAGCUCCCACCAAUUAGGGGGGCAUCAGGAGUUGGCAGAAGAGCAAGGACAGCUCAGAAUCCAUCCUGUGUGUUGGCCAGCAGGUGACCAGUCACAGCAUGAGCUGCCUCUUGCACCCACUGCCUUUGGGGGUAUGCUAUGGGAGCCAGGGCCGAUGCCAGGAAAGACACUUGAUGAAGAGUAAUGACUGGUCUUCCAAAUAGCAAGAUGACAAAAUUAUACAUGAGGUUACUUAUCUGACUCCUUAUCUAAGCAAUAAGGUUAUUUAAGAAGAUACUGUUCUUCAGUUUCUGGACACAUUUUCUAUUAGUUUUUAUUUUGUUAAUACAUGCAAACAUUUGUCAUUUAUUUUCUCUGAGCAAAAGUACAACAAAUCAACUAGUAACUUUGCUGUCAAAGUGUAAAUGACUCAGUUUUACUGGAAGUGGAGUGGUAAGAUGUGUUGAAGCCACAGUGCAUGAAGAAUCUGGUCUAGCAAUGUAAUUCCUACACUUCUCUUCUAAACAGUCACGAAUUUCCAUAUUCUGUGUUAUGGAAAAUAUUGGUUAGGAUUUAACAGGAUUCUUUUUUUUUU
rnacentral:lncRNA from 7 species